rnacentral:lncRNA from 13 species
UGGUGUUUUAAGACCCCUAAUUUGUGGUACUUUGUGAUGGCAGCCAUAGAAAACUGAUACAUUAAGUUAUUGGUCUGCUCAGGCUGCCAUCACAAAAGACCACAGACUGGGUAACUUAACGGAAAUUUAUUUUCUCACAGUUCUGGAGACUGGAAUCCAAGAUCAAGGUGCCAGCAUGGUCUGGUCCCGGUGAGGGCUGUCUUCACAGUUGGCUUUCGCAGUGUCCGCGUGUGAGGAGCAGGUUGAAAAGAUAUGCUGCCUCUCUUAGGAGUCAAUUACAGUCAAUGACAUCAUAACGGCGAGGCCACAAUUACCUCUUAAAGGUCCAGUCUCCAAAUGCAGUCCCAACAGGAGGGCGGAAUCUCUCAGUGUGCCACGUUUUGAUGUGACUUUAAGCCAUAAACACAGCCGAAGCCUGGGCCAUCCGCAGAAGACCUGGUGUUCUCUUUCUCCAAGUGGGCAUUUUGUAUCUUUGAAGAGUUCUAGACUGAGCUACAUCAGUAGACCUCUGUCUUUGAUGGGAGAAAUUCUCAUCUGAGGAUCACAAUUCUUCUACUGUACUGCAAUUCCGUGAUUCUCUCCAAAUGUCUCCAUGCAAAUUCAAAACAGCUGAAAAUAACUGCAUGCCUGAGAGCGAGAGAACUUUCUUAAGUGAUUGACCAAAUCUGGGUCUGAUUAGUGGGUAGAUGCCUCACAUGGACACUGUGAUUUGGGAGUUGGGGUACAGUAAUAAUGGC